CACCCCGGUGAUGGGUAAAGAGAUAUUUUGUGGUUGGUGGUGUUCUUAUAUCAGUCAAGGACAGAGCAGAAGGCAGUUUUUUUGUUCAUCCUAGUUUGAUGCCUGGAUUGGUCAGCAAAGCUGUUUCAUGCCUAAGACACAUAA